AGUGAACGCUGGCGGUAGGCCUAACACAUGCAAGUCGAACGGCAGCACAGGAGAGCUUGCUCUCUGGGUGGUGAGUGGCGGACGGGUGAGGAAUACAUCGGAAUCUACUCUGUCGUGGGGGAUAACGUAGGGAAACUUACGCUAAUACCGCAUACGACCUACGGGUGAAAGCAGGGGACCUUCGGGCCUUGCGCGAUUGAAUGAGCCGAUGUCGGAUUAGCUAGUUGGCGGGGUAAAGGCCCACAAAGGCGAAGAUCCGUAGCUGGUCUGAGAGGAGGAUCAGCCACAGUGGAACUGAGAUACGGUCCAGACUCCUACGGAAGGCAGCAGUGGGGAAUAUUGGACAAUGGGCGCAAGCCUGAUCCAGCCAUACCGCGUGGGUGAAGAAGGCCUUCGGGUUGUAAAGCCCUUUUGUUGGGAAAGAAAUCCAGCUGGCUAAUACCCGGUUGGGAUGACGGUACCCAAAGAAUAAGCACCGGCUAACUUCGUGCCAGCCGCCGCCGCAG
rnacentral:rRNA from 1 species